rnacentral:SRP_RNA from 1 species
GCCGAGCUUUGUAACGUGGGCUUGUAACCCGAGUGGGGGCAACAAUGUGGUGGAAUGUUGGGUCCAUCUUGAUGGAUGGGCUUGAAGGGCUAAUGUUCUGGCCUGCCCUGUCCAAGCACAGAGUUGGGUCAAGUGGUCUAUACGAAAGUAUAGCCACUUGGCCUUUAGAGUGGGAUGGACUGCGUGAGGCUGGUUUCACAGAGCAACGACUAGUCCCCGCUCUGUGCAGUGGAAGGAUCACGGGCUAGUGCUCUUUGAGUCCUAACAAAAACCUGAUAGGUUGCCUAAUUAAACCAUCACUUUU